GAUGAACGCUAGCUACAGGCUUAACACAUGCAAGUCGAGGGGAAACGAUAGAGAAAGCUUGCUUUUUCUAGGCGUCGACCGGCGCACGGGUGAGUAACGCGUAUCCAACCUGCCCACCACUUGGGGCUAACCUUGCGAAAGUAAGACUAAUACCCAAUGACGUCCAUCGAAGCCAUCUGAAUAGGAUUAAAGAUUUAACGGUGAGGGAUGGGGAUGCGUCUGAUUAGCUUGUUGGCGGGGGAACGGCCCACCAAGGCGACGAUCAGUAUGAGUUCUGAGAGGAAGGGCCCCCACAUGGGAACUGAGACACGGUCCAAACUGCUACGGGAGGCAGCAGUGAGGAAUAUUAGUCGAUGGGCGAGAGCCUGAACCAGCCAAGUAGCGUGCAGGAUGACGGCCCUAUGGGUUGUAAACUGCUUUUAUAAGGGAAUAAAGUGGGAGUCGUGACUCCUUUUGCAUGUACCUUAUGAAUAAGGACCGGCUAAUUCCGUGCCAGCCGCCGCAGUAACAC
rnacentral:rRNA from 1 species